rnacentral:rRNA from 1 species
AUUGGAACGCUGGCGGCCGUCCUAACACAUGCAAGUCGAGCGGAUGGACGGGAGCUUGCUCCCUGAUUCAGCGGCGGACGGGUGAAGUAAUGCCUAGAGAAUUCUGCCUGGUAGUGGGGGACAACGUUCCGAAAGCGAGCGCUAAUACGGCGCAUACAUCCUAAGGGAGAUAUAAUGGGGGAUCUCGGACCUCAGGCUAAUCAGGGGAUGAGCCUAGGGUCGGAUUAGCUAGUUGGUGGGGUAAUGGCUCACCUAGGCGACGAUCCGCGUAACUGGUCUGAGAGGAUGAUCAGUCACACUGCGAACUGAGACACGGUCCAAGCUCCUACGGGAGGCAGCAGGGGGUAUAUUGGACAAUGGGCGAAAGCCUGAUCCAGCCAUGCCGCGUGUGUGAAGAAGGUCUUCGGAUUGUAAAGCACUUUAAGUUGGGAAGAAGGGUAGUAAGUUCUACCUUGCUGUUUGACGUUACCAC